rnacentral:tRNA from 1 species
GGAGGGGUAUCCUAAUGGUAAGGAAGCGGUCUUGAAAACCGCCGAGCGAAAGCUCUUGCAGGUUCGAGUCCUGUCCCCUCCG